rnacentral:rRNA from 1 species
ACACUUAGUGGCGGACGGGUGAGUAACGCGUGGGUACCUGCCUCACACUGGGGGAUAACAGUUAGAAAUAGCUGCUAAUACCGCAUAAGUCCGCAUGGAAAAAACUCCGGUGGUGUGAGAUGGACCCGCGUCUGAUUAGCCAGUUGGCGGGGUAACGGCCCACCAAAGCGACGAUCAGUAGCCGGCCUGAGAGGGUGAACGGCCACAUUGGGACUGAGACACGGCCCAAACUCCUACGGGAGGCAGCAGUGGGGAAUAUUGCACAAUGGGGGAAACCCUGAUGCAGCGACGCCGCGUGAGUGAAGAAGUAUUUCGGUAUGUAAAGCUCUAUCAGCAGGGAAGAAGUGACGGUACCUGAAUAAGAAGCCCCGGCUAACUACGUGCCAGCAGCCGCGGCAAUACGUAGGGGGCAAGCGUUAUCCGGAUUUACUGGGUGUAAAGGGAGCGUAGACGGCAAGGCAAGUCUGAAGUGAAAGCCCGGUGCUUAACGCCGGGACUGCUUUGUAAACUGUUUAGCUGGAGUGCCGGAGAGGUAAGCGGAAUUCCUAGUGUAGCGGUGAAAU